GUGAAGACAGGCUUCUUAGCUUCUCUAUCUCAUCCUCCCAACAGCUCAGCCAGUCAUCUCAGGCGGGCAGACACUCCUCUGAGCAUCAGAUUAGGUCAUGAUUCCACUCCCUUGAGACCACAUAUCUCUUUGUCUCCCUUCUGCAUCCCCACCCCUGUCUUUUUUUCAAAGCAGGAACCAGGAAGGACACAUAAUAUUGCAUUAUUCCAUCAUCACCGAUGCUCUAGUUUGAAGGAAGCUGAAAGAAUCAGCUUGAAUCAGGACCUUCCACAAUCAAAGAUGAUCGACAGUGCCCAGUACGGACGAGAGUGGGGAGGAGAGAGGGUCUCCUUUCAGAAGGAAAUAGCAGCAACAAAAAUAGGAAGAGUGGUAGUUUGUGCUUGUUGCAUGUUAUUGCUUCUGUUUUCAACAACCCUCUGGAGCAAAAACUAUUAUUUCCCUCGUGAAGAGGAGGAAACUGAGGUUUAGCAAUGUUGUGACCUGCCAGGAGGAGGAGGAUGGAGCAACGAGCUUGUCUGACCUCAGCACGCCCUAACCCUACUAUCCACAGGGAUUGCUUCCAAGUGCAUAGUACGACGAGAGCUUGGUGUGUACAAGUGUUGUCUGGCAAGUUUUCAAGGAAAUCUUUGAUCGUGUCUUAAAGUGCUUUUGCUGGGAGGCACUCGGGGCAGGUAAGCUCUUGUCCAAGUUCAGACAGGGGAGUCCCUAUCCCUUUCUUAAACAUCUCUGUGAAAUUAUUCAGUCCUUUUUAUCAUUUUUGUCAUUCUCUUUGAAUCUCUCUUCAAAGAUGACAUAUUCCUUAAAAUUAUGGCAACAGCUCAAUUCUUCAGAGGCAUCUAUUUGCAAAGAGAUGAAACGCCUUGCUACCAGAGGUGAGAUGAGCGAGUGGCAGUGGGCACAGCUGGCCUUGGCCUUCGGCGUGGCUGCCUGAAAGGUCCGGUUGCUGCUGACCCGCUCCGACAGGGCCCAUGGCCCGCUCUUUCUCCGGCCUCCUUGCAAACAGUUAGGGGGAUCAAGGCUCAUAUAUACAAAAGUUCUGCUUUUUUAACAGAACGCCCAGAAAAAAGUAGGUUUAUA
rnacentral:lncRNA from 12 species